rnacentral:rRNA from 1 species
ACGCACGCUGGCGGCGUGCUUAACACAUGCAAGUCGAACGGAAAGGCCCUGCUUUUGUGGGGUGCUCGAGUGGCGAACGAGUGAGUAACACGUGAGUAACCUGCCCUUGACUUUGGGAUAACUUCAGGAAACUGGGGCUAAUACCGGAUAGGAGCUCCUGCUGCAUGGUGGGGGUUGGAAAGUUUCGGCGGUUGGGGAUGGACUCGCGGCUUAUCAGCUUGUUGGUGGGGUAGUGGCUUACCAAGGCUUUGACGGGUAGCCGGCCUGAGAGGGUGACCGGCCACAUUGGGACUGAGAUACGGCCCAGACUCCUACGGGAGGCAGCAGUGGGGAAUAUUGCACAAUGGGCGGAAGCCUGAUGCAGCAACGCCGCGUGCGGGAUGACGGCCUUCGGGUUGUAAACCGCUUUCGCCUGUGACGAAGCGUGAGUGACGGUAAUGGGUAAAGAAGCACCGGCUAACUACGUG